GACCUUGAUAUGUUAUCUGCAUUCAUAGAGAUGAUGUACUCUGUACAUGUGGUUCUCCGAUUACGCUUAGCAGAAAGAAGAAACUUGCCAUUUUCUACAAGCAAGGCAGGGCUAAGGCAAAGGAAAAGUUGGUAAGUUAAUUUAGAUUUGUCCCUCCGGAUGAAGCAUUGGAUGGUUCCAUCCCGAAACCCAGGCUGCUUAAGAGAGAUUGGAAAGGUCAAUUUUCCAGAGAACUCCGGACGCUGAACAAUUUCUUGGCACAUCUCCCUCCAUGAGCGGCAAACAGCUGCACAUGCCACAACAUGUUUACGAGCAGGCCACGUACUCUCACUUGCCUCCAAUCUUUUAAUUACAUCACGAAGCAACUCUGGUGGGAGGCUUGCCCAACAACUGCUUUGAAUGACGAUAGCAUGGUCAUGCAACUCAUGAACAGCACUCUGAGACUUCCCUCUGUUAUGACUGGACAGCUUAACCUCAAAACUCCGCCUGGAUAAGCUUCCAAUACUAUCCCUGAUAUCACGAGCUAUACUGCGAAAAGACAUUUACUGGACCAGAGCAAGGUUUCACAGGCUACUUUCUAUAUGUGAAUCUUUUGGAGUGACAGAUUUGAAUCCCCGACAACCGUGCACAUUAAAUAUACCGUAAAAAUUAAAUCUUGUUCUUUUUCUGAGUUUCUGUACAACUAUGUUGUUGUUGUUUCUUUCUCUAAAAAAGUAUAGUUGAUUCU
rnacentral:misc_RNA from 1 species